rnacentral:rRNA from 1 species
AGAACGAACGCUGGCGGCAUGCCUAAUACAUGCAAGUCGAACGAACUCUUCGGAGUUAGUGGCGCACGGGUGCGUAACGCGUGGGAAUCUGCCCCUUGGUUCGGAAUAACAGUUGGAAACGACUGCUAAUACCGGAUGAUGACGAAAGUCCAAAGAUUUAUCGCCAGGGGAUGAGCCCGCGUAGGAUUAGCUAGUUGGUGAGGUAAAGGCUCACCAAGGCAACGAUCCUUAGCUGGUCUGAGAGGAUGAUCAGCCACACUGGGACUGAGACACGGCCCAGACUCCUACGGGAGGCAGCAGUAGGGAAUAUUGGACAAUGGGCGAAAGCCUGAUCCAGCAAUGCCGCGUGAGUGAUGAAGGCCUUAGGGUUGUAAAGCUCUUUACCGAGAUGAUAAUGACAGUAUCGGAAGAAGUAAGCCCCGUACUAACGUCCGUGCCAGCAGCCGAC